rnacentral:lncRNA from 1 species
UUGUGAGAUUGCCUAAUUUAGGGGGAGUUUGAAAUUUAAAAAAAAGGAGAAAAAGAAACUCCUAUGUUUAAAAGAUGUGGAAAGAGUUACAUCCAAAAGGAGUGUGAAAACUACCACCACAUGUAGGAAAGAGCUACCACCCCGGUCGUCCGGCAAGUGUGUGAAGCUACCACAUGAAGAUUGAAUUGAUUAACCGAAAAAGGUUGGAAAUCAAAUGAAAUAAAUAUUUUAGAUUUUUCGGAGUAAUAAGGUGUUAGUUUGAAAAAAAAAAAAGAUGCUCAGAGAGCCACCCCCGGUGUAAUAUUAGUUAAAUCUCUAUUUUGAAUGUGUUGCGACAAAUUGGUGUCAAUCUUGUUGAAUUCCUAAAAAUCAAUUUUCAUCAACUUACAUCUUGAUAGUUUUGAGUCAUUAAAUUAUUUU